rfam:Pongo abelii chromosome 13.
UAUUAGGUUGGUGCAAAAGUAAUUGUGGUUUUUUCCAUUGAAAGUAAUGGCAAAAACCACAGUUAUUUUUGCACCAACCUAAUA